AGGCAACGCGGCCGGGCCAUGGAGGCGUCGUACGAGUCCGAGUCCGAGUCUGAGGCCGGGCCUGGCACUCAGCCGCCCGGGACCGGGACCGUGAGCGCGGCAGUGCGCGAGCACUUGCGGAAGCUCUGUCUGCGCGAGUUCCCGUGCGGUGCCGGCAGCUGGAAUAAGUCGCGCUUUCUUCCUCAAACUUGGCGAACAUGGAGGGAGCUUGUCCCCAGAGAGGAGGACCUGGUGAGCCCCGGGGAGGAGACGGUGGAGGCCCUGCUGGGCCUGGUCCGCAGCCGCCACUCCCCCUGGGCUCUGCUGAACGACUCGAAUGCGGAAGACAGUUUCCUGAGAGAACUGGCCAUCCGGAACCCGCUGACGAUCACAGACACCUUCUUCUACUCCUACUUCCGGUCCCUGCGGGUGGUAGACAAGGAGAUUCUCUCCUGGCCUGUGGUGCUACCUGCUGUUGACAGUCCCCUGUCUGCCAAGAAAGGAAAGGGGGAGAAAGACAAGAAAGGGAAGGAGAAAGACAGAACGGGGAAAGGAGAGAAAGAGCCGGCCAAGGAGUGGAAGGUGCCGAAGAAGAAGAAAGAGCUG
rnacentral:sRNA from 1 species